rnacentral:rRNA from 1 species
UUAUUAUGAGAGUUUGAUCCUGGCUCAGGACGAACGCUGGCGGCGUGCCUAAUACAUGCAAGUCGAACGCUUCUUUCCUCCCGAGUGCUUGCACUCAAUUGGAAAGAGGAGUGGCGGACGGGUGAGUAACACGUGGGUAACCUACCCAUCAGAGGGGGAUAACACUUGGAAACAGGUGCUAAUACCGCAUAACAGUUUAUGCCGCAUGGCAUAAGAGUGAAAGGCGCUUUCGGGUGUCGCUGAUGGAUGGACCCGCGGUGCAUUAGCUAGUUGGU